rnacentral:rRNA from 1 species
CUACCCUUGAACAUGUCCGAGAGGCCGAAGAGAUUCGGCUGUGCCCGAAAGGGAAUCGGAACACAGGUGCUGCAUGGCUGUCGUCAGCUCGUGUCGUGAGAUGUUCGGGUUAAGUCCCGCAACGAGCGCAACCCUUGUCAUUAGUUGCUACAUUCAGUUGGGCACUCUAAUGAGACUGCCGGUGACAAACCGGAGGAAGGUGGGGAUGACGUCAAGUCCUCAUGGCCCUUAUGGGUAGGGCUUCACACGUAAUACAAUGGCGCGUACAGAGGGUUGCCAAGGAGCGAUCUGGAGCCAAUCCCGUAAAGCGCGUCGUAGUCCGGAUUGCAGUCUGCAACUCGACUGCAUGAAGUCGGAAUCGCUAGUAAUCGCGGAUCAGCAUGUCGCGGUGAAUACGUUCCCGGGUCUUGUACACACCGCCCGUCACACCAUGGGAGUGGGUUUCACCAGAAGCCGGUCGCCUAACCGCAAGGAGGGCGCCGACCACGGU